rnacentral:lncRNA from 1 species
GAUUGACACAGAGAGUUCAUGAGACAGGCAUACAAUUUACCUUUAUUCAAAUUUUCUACAAAGCAUCAAAUGCUUUCGCUAUGUAAACUAUAGUUUUUGUAUAUGUUUAAGUGCAAGUACUCUUUUGAAUGGACACAGCAAGUAUGGCAAGUGGAGAUAUGAGCAAAGCAUUCUCAGAUAAUACUUUAUGAGAGAAAGGUUGCUUUACUUGAAUAAAUCAAAGGCAGGUUACUAGUUUGCAAAAUAUACUCAUUCACUGCUUGCAGUUCUUGGAUGAUUAGCUUUUCUAAGUCUUUAUGAUUUAAUCCCAAUUUUUCAAAUUUUAGUUGAGUCCUGUAAAUAGCUUUGCAGGCUUUCUUUCCACAGAAGAAAGAAGCACCAACAUAGUUCUACUGCAAACACCUCAACUAACUGCACAUGCAUACUUAAUUAAUGCACCACUGAUACUGCAAAUAGUUUUCUGCUAGUAUAUUUGCUGCUAAUGAUCUGGCUUUGCAGCUCUUUAACCAUGGUAUUAUUGUGGCUAAGAACCAGGUGUAUGAAGCCUAAAAGCAAAUUUUUAACAAAUAUUGUGAAACAAUCACUCCGCUGGUCAUCUGUGUACAAAACUCCACUAGUCCUCCUGGAUAAUAAGGUGACUGAGCUGUUGAAGCAUAACAAAAGAAUGAUGUGGGCCCACAGAGAUUCAAAGUUUGGAAAAUAUGAGGGAAAAGCAUGACAGCAAGCAGAGGAGAUUAAUCAAAGCAUGCUAAGAAACAUACAUAUGCACAGGUUUAUUUUAUUCCUCCGCAUCCAUUAUAAACAGAAAAAAGCUGAUUUCCCCAAGAUAGACCUGGUUAAAUACAGCCCUUUCCUGUAUAUUCUGAAUUCUCAUGUUACUCUACCUGACCUUGGAGUUCACAUAAGACUUUGAGGAAAUAUAUAAAAAGAAGAGAGUCGUUUGUAGCUAAAGAAGAAACUUCGAAAGCACCAUUUACCUGGCAACAUUCACUAACAGUUGUAUGAGACAUCGCAGUUUCCCUCCAAACUCGGAGAAAGAUACAUGAGAACUGAGGAAUGACUAUCAACUAUAGAAAGGUUUGUACAGAAGCUCAGUAUGAGAUUACCUGCAUUUGGUGUCCUGACCAGAGACAAAGCAUCUUGCUUGGGAAGAUCAAGAAACCACCAGUCUGACAGAGAAUAUGCUCAGGCAUAUUUAUGGUUAGGCUAGGAUAUCUGUUGUCAAAGUUUAUUUUGGUAUGUAUUUUUGAAUAAAGUAUUGAGACCAUUGUAAAAUAUAUAUUUC